CCAAUAGCGUAUAUUAAAGUUGCUGCAGUUAAAAAGCUCGUAGUUGAAUUUCGGGACCAAUAUGUCGGUCGUGCCUCGGUACGUACUGGCAUCGUUGGUUUCUCCCUUCUGACGAACCAUGAUGUCAUUUAUUUGGUGUCGUGGGGAAUCAGGACUGUUACUUUGAAAAAAUUAGAGUGUUUAAAGCAGGCUCACGCUUGAAUACAUUAGCAUGGAAUAAUGAAAUAGGACGUUUGAUUCUAUUUUGUUGGUUUCUAGGAUCGACGUAAUGAUUAAUAGGGAUAGUUGGGGGCAAUAGUAUUAAAUUGUCAGAGGUGAAAUUCUUGGAUUUAUUGAAGACUAACUACUGCGAAAGCAUUUGCCAAGGAUGUUUUCAUUAAUCAAGAACGAAAGUUAGGGGAUCGAAGACGAUCAGAUACCGUCGUAGUCUUAACCAUAAACUAUGCCGACUAGGGAUCGGAUGAUGUUAAUUUUUUAAUGACUCAUUCGGCGCCUUACG
rnacentral:rRNA from 1 species